GCCAGUAUAGUGUAGUGGUUUGCAUAUUGGAUUACAACUCUGGAGACUAGAGUUUGAUUCCCUUCUUGGUCA